CGGGGUGUGGCGCAGCCUGGCAGCGCACCUGCCUUGGGCGCAGGGGGUCAGCGGUUCAAAUCCGCUCACCCCGACCA
rnacentral:tRNA from 1 species